UACGUAGGGGGCAAGCGUUGUCCGGAAUCAUUGGGCGUAAAGCGCGUGUAGGCGGUUCGGUAAGUCUGCUGUGAAAGUCCAGGGCUCAACCCUGGGAUGCCGGUGGAUACUGUCGGGCUAGAGUGCGGAAGAGGCGAGUGGAAUUCCCGGUGUAGCGGUGAAAUGCGCAGAUAUCGGGAAGAACACCCGUGGCGAAGGCGGUUCUCUGGGACGGUACUGACGCUGAGACGCGAAAGCGUGGGGAGCGAACAGG
rnacentral:rRNA from 1 species